UUAUUAAAGGCCUAGUGAUAGUGAGAAGUGAGCUAAUGAUAGUGAUUGUAUUAACUCACCAUUAGGGUUUGCUAUAUUUGUUUAGUUGGGAUGAUGGCAUCGUAAUAUACUGUAAGACGGCAAGUCCUUGUAUGCCGGCUGGCCGGUGGAGAAAGAGGAGUCCCUUUUGAGCAAGCGACUAGCAUCAACCGUUAUAUUGACCAUUAUUGACUCUCAUAUUCAGAAUUUCGUAGAUACUGAUUUUCUCGAGAGAUUAUUUCCAUUGUAAAUAUGGUCCAUUGAUCUUGUUUCAUUUAGCAUAGGUAAGUAAAGUAAGUGCGGCCAUUUUUUGUAUAUAAAUAUCUCAACGUGAUUCGAUACUUGAUACUUUUCGUAAUUUUUCGGAUCUUGAUGAAUAGUGCGAGUGAAAUGUUAAUUUUUUUGCU